GGGAAUAACUAAGCAAUGGGUUGGUCAUGUGGUGACAAGAAUGACGGCCGAGAUGCCCGGCCGGGCUCCUCGAAAUUUGACGACAAGGUAAGAUAUAUAUUUUUUGGUGUCAGCAGUCAGCAAGUGUGGCACAUCCGGGGCCAUGUUCGUUUAGGCUGUUCCCGGCCGGGAACAGCGACCAAACCUCGUGGAUCCCUUCCCAUGGAAAUAAACCCGGCCCACAGAAAAACAAGCGUUCGGUUAAGUCCGAUGUGGGCUGUAUCCAGAUCGUUCCUCGUCGUUCCAGCCCGGGAAACACGCCCGGUCGACCGGGGGUGGAAAAUAUCCCAGCCUGGACUGCACGCGAACGCGAAGGGCACGCGACUUCUCGUCGGUGUCGAUCUGCUCCGGCGACCGCUUGUCAUCGAUUAUCCCUACAUCGGUUUGACUUGGAGAAGACGAGCUUCCACCAUCUUGGGACCCUAUACCCUCUCCUUUAGAGAGCUGCACCUGAAGAAACCAAUGAACAUUAGGUAUUACAAAUAAGGGCUGUAUUGUAUUAAUGUGGUUCUUGUAAACUAAUUUUUCCUUUGAAUUUUGUAAUUGAAUCAUCCACAGGUGUGCGACUUGCUUUUGUUUAUGUGGAUCUAUUAAUUAUGUUCAAACAGUUGCUUCAUAAUUGGCAUUGGCAUUGGCUGCUCAA